CGAUUUAGAAUACAUGAAACAGAACUGCAUUUCGUUUUCAGCAAAAAUGAGAAUAAUUUUUAUCUAUAUUUUGUGUGUUAAAUUUAGGAUUUGCUUCCAAGAUACUGUAAACGGUGGACAUUUCCAACAAAACAAGAAAAUGAACUCUGUCAUUCUCUUCAAUCGCGACAAUAUUGGUCCCAAAAUGUGCAUUCGAGAAUGUUUACGGAUAAAGAAUUGCAACGGUAUAAACUUUCACAAGGAUUUUCUCAACUGCGAGCUGUUGUCUGUUUCGAACUCAGAAAGUCAGUUGAUCAGCAGGUCAGGGUUUAGUUACUCAAACAUUACAUACUGGACAAUGGAGGCUGAUAGUUGUUGGCCAAGUAAACCCUGCCCAGAGAAAACAAAGUGUAGGCCUUUACAGUCAAAUGGUCAUGUCUGCUUACAGUACGGUUUAUUGAACGAAAUAUUUCGAGAGAACAUAUCGUCACCGGGAUUUCCAGUUUCGUAUCAUAACCAAAUGAAUGAGACUUGGAAGUUUGAAGUUGGAAUUGGUAACAUUGUCGCCGUACGGUUCACAUAUUUUGAUUUAGAACGUUGCUGUGAUUAUGUAAAGGUUUACGAUGGUGUUGUCAGCGCAGAUACACUUUUGGAAAGUUUAAAUACAAAUGUUGUGCUACAGGAAGUUCGUUCGACCAAACAUUGCAUGGUAAUCAUUAUGACAACUGAUGGCUCAGUCAUAAAAGCAGGAUUCAGUGCUGACAUUUACGAAAUUAUUUCAUAGAUACAUUAAAUUCAAAUAUAUUUAGGUAAAGUAAGUGUAUCGGUCGGCGAAUCUACAGUUUGAUAAUUCUGUUCAUAUCUCAUUAUGUUUGGUAGUACGAUAUGGAUAAAAGGCUACCUUAAUAUUU